GGCUCAGACCUGUGGAGAGUCAUUUCUGAGCCCCACGGUGGGAAUAAACCUGCCUUCCAAGAUCUGCGAGUGCCGCUUGUUUCCUCCUGCCUUCCAAGAUCUCGGAGUGCCGCUUGGUUCUUCCGUCGGGUGAUCCAGACCAGGUGAAGAAACAGGCCUUGCGAGUUUGAGGCAGAGCCCUGGGUCCCACAGCCAGCAAGUGACUGAGGCAGGACUCCACCAGGCUCUUGUGACUUGAAAGCCGCUGCUCCCUGGAGCGUUGGGUACCUGCCACAGAACAUCAUCUCCUUUUUGGAUUUCCUUUAUAAUCUGUUCAGCCUUCCUCAAAAAUACGGCAGGACUUGGAAGUGGAAGGAAGGCUUCAGGGUUGCCGGAGGGAAUGUUCAGCAUACUCACA